AAAAAAAAAAGCAAUGAGUUGAACCCCUUCCCCGCAGGAAGCGUCCCCACUGAUUGUCACCUCCUGGUCACCUCCCUGUCACCCUGCAGCAUCACCAUGGAUCUUCUCACCGCCGCGGGCUGCGCCGUCGCUGUGCUCCUGGUGACAAUGACGGUGGCACUUCUUGGGGUGGCCCAUCGCUUGGGUCUCCUCUACCAGCUCUUCCACAAGGUAGGCAGAACCGAACCCAAGACAUUUUACCCACCCCUCGUUUUCUAAACCCAAAACUCAACCCCCU